UACGUAGGGACCAAGCGUUGUUCGGAUUUACUGGGCGUAAAGGGCGCGUAGGCGGCGCGGUAAGUCACUUGUGAAAUCUCUGAGCUUAACUCAGAACGGGCAAGUGAUACUGCAGUGCUAGAGUGUGGAAGGGGCAAUCGGAAUUCUUGGUGUAGCGGUGAAAUGCGUAGAUAUCAAGAGGAACACCUGAGGUGAAGACGGGUUGCUGGGCCAACACUGACGCUGAGGCGCGAAAGCCAGGGGAGCAAACGGG
rnacentral:rRNA from 1 species